rnacentral:rRNA from 1 species
AUCGAACGCUGGCGGCAGGCCUAAUACAUGCAAGUCGAGCGAGCGGAGGGCGGGUGCGUACUGUCGGGUAAACCGUCUGUAGGCGGGGGAUAACUACUGGAAACGGUAUCUAAACCCGCAUACCAUCAGCUGUCCGCAGUGGGGAUUAGCUAGUAGGUGGGGUAACGGCUCACCUAGGCAACGAUCCCUAGCCGGUCUGAGAGGGUGAUCAGCCACACUGGAACUGAGACACGGUCCAGACUCCUACGGGAGGCAGCAGUGGGGAAUAUUGGACAAUGGGCGCAAGCCUGAUGCAGCCAUGCCGCGUGAGUGAAGAAGGUUUUCGGGUUGUAAAGCACUGUCAGCGGGGAAGCGGUACCCACCCAGAAAGCACCGGCUAACUACGUGCCAGCAGCCGCGGUAAUAC